AGCGAACGCUGGCGGCAGGCCUAACACAUGCAAGUCGAACGAACUCUUCGGAGUUAGUGGCGGACGGGUGAGUAACACGUGGGAACGUGCCCUUUGGUACGGAAUACCUCAGGGAAACUUGAGCUAAUACCGUAUGUGCCCUUCGGGGGAAAGAUUUAUCGCCAUUGGAGCGGCCCGCGUCUGCUUAGCUAGUUGGUGAGGUAAAGGCUCACCAAGGCUACGAUCAGUAGCUGGUCUGAGAGGAUGAUCAGCCACAUUGGGACUGAGACACGGCCCAAACUCCUACGGGAGGCAGCAGUGGGGAAUCUUGCGCAAUGGGCUAAAGCCUGACGCAGCCAUGCUGCGUGAAUGAUGAAGGUCUUAGGAUUGUAAAAUUCUUUCACCGGGGACGAUAAUGACGGUACCCGAAGAAGAAGCCCCGGCUAACUUCGUG
rnacentral:rRNA from 1 species